CUUGAGCUCAUACAAGCAGAGUUCUGUGCAGGGAGAUAUCUAGAGAAGGUUUCUUUAGCUCUCUGCUUAUAUGAUGUAUCUGUUCUGUCUGAUACUGAAGCAGUUUCGAGAAAAGUGGAUGUUGGAAGAGAUCUCAUAAGACCUUAGAGUUUAACCCAUAUUUAACUUCUAGGAGGUAAAGGAGUCAUUUGGCCAGCCAAGUACUGAGCCAUGAAAAGAGUAUUGAUGGUACAAGGACUUGGAAUCAGAAUCUCUAGUUUUUAUCUACCAUGUGGUGGUAAUUUUGGGGACUACUUAAGAAAAUUGAAUUACAGAGGCUGACUAGAUUUUAAGAUCAGGACAUAACUCUCAAAAAAUUCUCCAGCACCAUGUCUGCCAUACCUGCUGCUGUGCUCCCUCCAAAGUUAAUGAACUAAGCAUUUGGAACGUUGAACCACUGUUCCACUCCUUCUUGUUAUAUUCAUUUUGAAGGCUGGCCAAAUAUCUAUCUAGGAGAAAAGAUUAAACAAAAUUCAUUGAGAGACCCCGCAUUUGGUUCCCAGCACCUACAUCUCAUGACUCACAACAAUCUGUAACUGAAGUUCUUGGGGAUCGGAUGACUAUUCUAGCAUUCACAGGCACCCACAUGCACGUGCUAUACAUGCUGAUGCUCAGAUAGACUUUGACAAGGAGACAUCUGGGCCUGCUGCAUGUCAUCAUAAACCACAUUUCUACUCUAGUUAUUUCACAUCAUAGACCAGCAUCACUCAGAAUUCAAAUGCCAUGAAGGAGAAGAGAAUACCAUAAUCAUCAGUGGUUGACCUGAUAUUGUGAAAUUCUGAGUUAUAUAAAGAUAAAUGCUAAAGUCAUAUAUUCUAGAUUUGAAGAACUUUUUGCCUGAUCUGAUUCUCUUCUUUUGUAGUUCCCUGAUCCAAGGGGGGAGGAGUUUGAUUAAGGCAUCCCAUUUAGGACUGAGUGCCCCAAAAUCUUCCACUCUCUGCACAAAGUCUGAUGAAUGGAAUUCCAUUGUGUAUGUAUAUGGCAUUUCCAUCAUCCAUUCACCUGUUGAAGAAUAUUGAAGUUGUUUCCACAUCCUAGCUCUUGUACAAAGAAUGGCAAUGAACCUGGUCUUUCACUUAAUUUGGAACUUUUAUGAGCUUACUGUGCAGUGAACUUCCAGUCUGCAUCCUCUCAGCAAUGAAUUCUAGUGAUUGUCCUGUUUGCACCUAUUCAGCACUGGAAUUACUGGCAUGUAACCACAUCUGCCUUUUUGCCGGGAUAAUGAAGACUGAAGUCAUAUCCUCAUUCUUGUCUAAGCUCAUCCAGAGACAUUUCCCCAGUCCCCAGAAUUACUAUUAUUAUUACAAAAUAUGCUAUAGUCACUGUUUUAUUCAGCUCAUUUAUUACUUUGAAGUAUGUCUGCUUUGACUUCUAUAGUAGGUUUACACUUUAUAAAUUCAUUUCACUUCUUUUGUGUGUAUGUGUAUGUGUGCUGGGGUGUAUACAUAUUAGGUAAAACUAGGGCAGUGGAUUUCUUCUUUUCUUGCAUUAUACUACAUUUCUUUAAGAUAGGGACUCUCACAGGACCCUAAGAUUGCUGCUGACAGGGUGGAAGCUUGUGGCCCACAAGCCCCAGUGAUCCUCCUGCCUCUCCUCUACCUGAUACUGGAUUUACAUUUGGAAUCAGCCACACUCAGCUUUUUAUUUCAGUGACAGAGACCCAAACUGAGGUCCUCAUGCUUCCACAGCCAGCAAUAUGCCUCACCAAGCCACCUACCUAUCCCAAUAACUUUAAUAUAUAUUUUCCAAUGAUGUUGAGAAUUUAGCAGCAUACACUACUAA